rnacentral:rRNA from 1 species
AACGAGAACUUAACCUGCUAAAUAGCCCGUAUUGCUUUGGCAGUACUCUGGCUUCUUAGAGGGACUAUCCGCUCAAGCGGAUGGAAGUUUGAGGCAAUAACAGGUCUGUGAUGCCCUUAGAUGUUCUGGGCCGCACGCGCGUUACACGGACGGAGCCAGCGAGUACUACCUUGACAGAGAUGUCCGGGGAAUCUUGUGAAAC